UUAGAGUUUGAUCCUGGCUCAGGAUGAACGCUGGCGGCGUGCCUAAUACAUGCAAGUCGAGCGAACUGACGAGGAGCUUGCUCCUUUGACGUUAGCGGCGGACGGGUGAGUAACACGUGGGUAACCUACCUAUAAGACUGGAAUAACUCCGGGAAACCGGGGCUAAUGCCGGAUAACAUAUCGAACCGCAUGGUUCGAUAGUGAAAGACGGUCUUGCUGUCACUUAUAGAUGGACCCGCGCCGUAUUAGCUAGUUGGUGAGGUAAUGGCUCACCAAGGCAACGAUACGUAGCCGACCUGAGAGGGUGAUCGGCCACACUGGAACUGAGACACGGUCCAGACUCCUACGGGAGGCAGCAGUAGGGAAUCUUCCGCAAUGGGCGAAAGCCUGACGGAGCAACGCCGCGUGAGUGAUGAAGGUCUUCGGAUCAG
rnacentral:rRNA from 1 species